CAGGAUUAGAUACCCUGGUAGUCCACGCUGUAAACGAUGAGUGCUGGAUGUGGGGGUUUUUACCUCCGUGUUGUAGCUAACGCGUUAAGCACUCCGCCUGGGGACUACGGUCGCAAGACUAAAACUCAAAGGAAUUGACGGGGACCCGCACAAGCGGUGGAGCAUGUGGUUUAAUUCGAUGCAACGCGAAGAACCUUACCACUUCUUGACAUGAAGAUUAGAUCCUCCUUAACAGGAGGGCGCAGUUAGGCUGGGUCUUGCACAGGUGCUGCAUGGCUGUCGUCAGCUCGUGUCGUGAGAUGUUGGGUUAAGUCCCGCAACGAGCGUAACCCUCACCCUUAGUUGCCAGCGGGUAAAGCCGGGGACUUUAAGGGAACUGCCAGUGGUAAGCUGGAGGAAGGUGGGGAUGAUGUCAAGUCAGCAUGGCCCUUAUGGGGUGGGCUACACACGUGCUACAAUGGUGACUACAAUAGGUUGCAAUGUCGUAAGGCUGAGCUAAUCCGGUAAAAGUCAUCUUAGUUCGGAUUGUCCUCUGCAACUCGAGGGCAUGAAGCACGAAUCGCUAGUAAUCGUGGAUCAGCAUGCCACGGUGAAUACGUUCUCGGGUCUUGUACACACUGCCCGUCACGCCAUGGGAAUUGGCUUAACUC
rnacentral:rRNA from 1 species